UUUCGAAUCAUUCACAAUGGGGGAAACCCUGAUGGUGCAACGCCGCGUGGGGGAUGACGGCCUUGGUUGUAAACCCUGUCACCAAGGACUAAACGUGCGGUUCAUAGCCGUACCUGAAUUAACUUGGAGAGGA
rnacentral:rRNA from 1 species